AGUUGGGUUCUUCGAAUUUCUGGUAUUUUUAUGGGAUGUAAUGUUCAUAAUAAAGAAACUGAAAAAUGUGUAUGGAAUAUUAAGUAUGGCGAGCGAUGACGACGUGUUCUCGGAUGCGUCCGAUUAAAGUGAAAAUGAACAGCAAUUCUUGAAAUGCUGCUCUACAAAAACGUAUAAACUAAAAGUAUGUGUGAGGUGCUUCGCGAUAUUCCAUAUCGCUUGUGCUAAAAGAAACCCAAACGUUGAAUUCCUAAAUGGAAACAAAGUUGCUGUGAAACGCCUAACCAUCUGGAGGAAGACAUUAAGAAAGUCCACGAGACAAAAAUGGAAAGUCUUGUAUUGCAAGUAAGGUACCUACAAGAAUUAUUGGACGAAGCAAAGGAUAAAAAUAAUAUUUUGAAGCAGAACAACGGUCUUCUGUUGGAAAAAAUCGAAAAUAUAGUAGAAAUAAAUGUGAAAGAUGGAAAAAAACAUGUAAACAAAGCUGAUAAACAACAUGGAAGCAAAGUCACUAGACACUAGACAGAGAGAACCAUUGGAGAUUUCUUCCCCUUCGUAUGCUAAUAUAGCAAGUUCGUCAACUCAACAACAGGUGGAAGCACAUGGUCAACCAAAGAUUACUACAAUUCAGGAAACGUCAAAUCAGAAUAAACUAACCAAACUAAUCGUACGACAAUAAGUAACAGUCAGAACAGAAAUAUUAUGAAGGAAUCAGGAACUCAAGACAAUGACUUUAUUGAAGUCAGAAACGGGAAGAGAACAAGAAACAAACCAACACAAAAAAACAUAGGAACAGGUCAAGAAGAAAAUGGUUUCUCCGGACAGCAAAGAAAGGCACACUGAAAAGGAUGCGGUUUUUUUAUAAACUCUGAACCAAAUAAGCAAAAAAGUCCAACUGCAGAGGAAACAUCAGAAAAAUUCACUAUCUUUCAUCAGAAUAUUAGAUCGAUUGGAAAUUCAAUGAAACAGAUAGAAAACGACAGCACAAAUAACAGGGAUAUCAAGACUAUAUGUUUGUCAGAACACUGGAAAUCAGAAAAUGAAUUGAAGAACUAUAACAUAAAAAAUUUCAUACUUAAAGCCCAAUUCUGCAGACUACAUGGUGAGCAUGGUGGUGUAGCUGUCUAUGUUCACACGUCUUUGAAAGCAAAGGAAAGAAAGGAAAUAAGCUAUGUUUCUGUAAAAGGCCUCAUGGAAUGUGCAGGAAUUGAAUUUCGUAUUGGUAAAAACAAGGCGAGUCCCAAAGGAAAACUGAUUGGCUUAUGUUCUUAAGCUCGCAUAAUAUGAAGCGAAAAAUAUUUGAGGCAACUAGAAUCACUGGUACAACAGCAACAUGUAUAGAUGGUAUUUUUACAAACCUUGACAUACCAUACUAUGCUAACAUUCUUGACAAUCACAUCUCGGACCACACAGCUCAGACCAUCACCUUAAUGGGCCCCCGAACUAAGCAAACUUUGGCUUGGAAAAGAAUAUAUUCCUCACAUAAUUUGAACCAAUUGAAGACAAAUUUGAGAAAUUUAAAUUGGUUGUUUCUCAAUGACUUAGUAGAUGUUAACGAACAAUUUAACUAUUUCCAUGAUUUAUUUAUGCACCAUUUAAAUCAAGCUUGUCCUCUAAAAAAGUUUCCUAUACAGAAGAAACAUAAGUAUAAGUGCCCAAGUGAAUUACAGAGGAGUAUGAAGAAUAAAUUAGAUGUUCUGUUAGUUUGCAGUAGAUCAGAUAGGAGAUUUCAGGAGCAGUAUAAAAAAGGGGAAAUAUAAAUAUGAUAGAAUGCUCAUCCAAAACAAAAAAGAAGCAUAUUGUAACGAAUUCGCAAGCUCUACGCCACUGCCUCUUUCUAGAAGGUACCGGACGCACCGAGAGCUCGAUAGAAAGAUCAAGACGCUUCUAGAGAGAGAUGCCAGCGGUAUAUAACCAAUCGAAGCCGCAGAGCAGGGCAGUGCGAUGGAAACGGCGGUCAGUGCCGUACACUCAAUUAGAUAUAAGUUUUAGAAAUAAAUUAAUGUAGUAGUGAAAAUAAAUUAGUGUAAUAGUUGAAAUAAAUCAUUUGUAAAUAGUUAUUUAUAGUUGUGUACCUGAAAUAAAUUAGUGUUAGCCAGAAGUAUCGAUUUAAUUAACAGAAAAAAACGUUACAAUUGGUGUCAGAAGUGAGAUUCACGUGUGUUUUCGAACCGAGAGUUAAUUAAAUCGUGAACAUUUCUGUGGAUAUUUUUGUGAACAUUAUCGUGGAAAUUUCUGUGGACAGUAGUGUGAACGUUUUUGUGACCAUAUUUUUGAAUGCCAUUUACGAGAAUCGCAGUAAGGAAAAUGGAUCAGACAACCUUGGAUUUCUGUAAGCAAGCUUUUGAACAACUGACCAAGCAAGUGCAGGACUUUAAAACAGAAAUGAAGGAAAGCUUCAAAUCGUGUAAAAAUGAAAUAAAGGAUAAUUGUAGAAGAAUGAUGCAUAACACGAAAAGGUUAGAGAAUACUAGGAAUGAGGUUCAAUCGAAGAAACUGGAGGACCAUGAAAGGAACCAGAAUAAUCAGGAAGUGUCAAAAAUUAUGAAAGCUAUACCAGAUAGAAAAAAAGAACGUUUGCAAAUGACGGAAGCCAGAAGACUGAAACUAGAAGAAUACAGGGCCUUUCAGAAAUUCCUGAAGAAUGUUUGCAGCGUGGAGAUCUGGUUGAAUCAAAAGCUUCAUAUAGCGGCAGAUGAGAGCUAUAGGGAACCUCAUAACCUGGAAAGUGAAAUCCAGAAGCAUUUUUCAUUCGAGGCAGAGGUUAUGGAC